UACGUAGGGCGCAAGCGUUGUCCGGAAUUAUUGGGCGUAAAGAGCUCGUAGGCGGCUUAGUAAGUCGGGUGUGAAACCUCCAGGCUCAACCUGGAGACGCCACCCGAUACUGCUGUGGCUAGAGUCCGGUAGGGGAGCGUGGAAUUCCUGGUGUAGCGGUGAAAUGCGCAGAUAUCAGGAGGAACACCAGCGGCGAAGGCGGCGCUCUGGGCCGGUACUGACGCUGAGGGAGCGAAAAGCGUGGGGGAGCAAACAGG
rnacentral:rRNA from 1 species